GACGAACGCUGGCGGCGUGCCUAAUACAUGCAAGUUGAGCGCUGAAGGUUGGUACUUGUACCAACUGGAUGAGCAGCGAACGGGUGAGUAACGCGUGGGGAAUCUGCCUUUGAGCGGGGGACAACAUUUGGAAACGAAUGCUAAUACCGCAUAAAAACUUUAAACACAAGUUUUAAGUUUGAAAGAUGCAAUUGCAUCACUCAAAGAUGAUCCCGCGUUGUAUUAGCUAGUUGGUGAGGUAAAGGCUCACCAAGGCGAUGAUACAUAGCCGACCUGAGAGGGUGAUCGGCCCCAUUGGGACGGAGCCCCGGCCCAAACCCCUCCGGGAGGCAGCAGUGGGGAACUUUCGGAAAUGGACGAAAGUUUGGCCGAGCAACCCCGGGGGGGUAAAGAGGGUUUUGGGAUCGUAAACCCUUUUUGGUAGGGAAGACCGGUGGGGGGGGGGGAAAGCCCUUCAAGUGCCGGAAACACCCCAAAAAGGGGCGGCUAACUCCGG
rnacentral:rRNA from 1 species